CCCCACGCGGGAAAAAAGAGUUUGCUGCAUCGCCCAUGUCCGUGGAGAACAUCUGUCCAAACUUGCUUAGACACUUUCUUUAAGAAA